UACGUAUGGUGCAAGCGUUAUCCGGAUUUACUGGGUGUAAAGGGAGCGUAGGCGGCGCGUUAAGUCUGAUGUGAAAACCCGAAGCUCAACCACGGGAGUGCAUUGGAAACUGGCGGGCUGGAGUGCCGGAGAGGUAAGCGGAAUUCCUAGUGUAGCGGUGAAAUGCGUAGAUAUUAGGAGGAACACCAGUGGCGAAGGCGGCUUACUGGACGGCAACUGACGCUGAGGCUCGAAAGCGUGGGGAGCAAACAGG
rnacentral:rRNA from 1 species